rnacentral:rRNA from 1 species
UUGAAAGGGAAACGAUUGAAGUCAGUCGUACCUGUGGGUAAUCAGCCUUUUGGGUGUGAUUUUGUGGAGUGUGAGGAGUUAAACGCCUUCAUGCCUGCAUAUUCGUGCACUUUGGGUGUAUUUACCCGUGUGGUAAGUUAACAUCAAUUUCGGUGAUCAUAAAAUGGCUGGAGGAAUGUAGCUUCGAUCUUGUAUUGAAGUGUUAUAGCCUUCGGUAGAUGUGAUGAUCGGGAUUGAGGAUUGCAACGGAUACCCCUCGGGGCUACCUGUCUGAUCUCUGAUCGUUGCUCUGGUGCCGAAAGCUUGCUUACGGUUAUCAAAGUCGAUGGUUAAUAGGUUAGAACGGGUUAAAUUCGUUAAGGAUGUUGACGUA